GAAGGUGUGUCGUGAGGCAUGCUGGAGGUAUCAGAAGUGCGAAUGCUGACAUAAGUAACGAUAAAGCGGGUGAAAAGCCCGCUCGCCGGAAGACCAAGGGUUCCUGUCCAACGUUAAUCGGGGCAGGGUGAGUCGACCCCUAAGGCGAGGCCGAAAGGCGUAGUCGAUGGGAAACGGGUUAAUAUUCCCGUACUUGGUGUUACUGCGAAGGGGGGACGGAGAAGGCUAUGUUGGCCGGGCGACGGUUGUCCCGGUUUAAGCGUGUAGGUGUGUGUUCCAGGUAAAUCCGGUUCACUUUAACACUGAGGCGUGACGACGAGGCACUACGGUGCUGAAGCAACAAAUGCCCUGCUUCCAGGAAAAGCCUCUAAGCAUCAGGUAACACGAAAUCGUACCCCAAACCGACACAGGUGGUCAGGUAGAGAAUACCAAGGCGCUUGAGAGAACUCGGGUGAAGGAACUAGGCAAAAUGGUGCCGUAACUUCGGGAGAAGGCACGCUGACACGUAGGUGAAGUGAUUUACUCAUGGAGCUGAAGUCAGUCGAAGAUACCAGCUGGCUGCAACUGUUUAUUAAAAACACAGCACUGUGCAAACACGAAAGUGGACGUAUACGGUGUGACGCCUGCCCGGUGCCGGAAGGUUAAUUGAUGGGGUCAGCGCAAGCGAAGCUCCUGAUCGAAGCCCCGGUAAACGGCGGCCGUAACUAUAACGGUCCUAAGGUAGCGAAAUUCCUUGUCGGGUAAGUUCCGACCUGCACGAAUGGCGUAAUGAUGGCCAGGCUGUCUCCACCCGAGACUCAGUGAAAUUGAACUCGCUGUGAAGAUGCAGUGUACCCGCGGCAAGACGGAAAGACCCCGUGAACCUUUACUAUAGCUUGACACUGAACAUUGAGCCUUGAUGUGUAGGAUAGGUGGGAGGCUUUGAAGUGUGGACGCCAGUCUGCAUGGAGCCGACCUUGAAAUACCACCCUUUAAUGUUUGAUGUUCUAACGUGGACCCGUAAUCCGGGUUGCGGACAGUGUCUGGUGGGUAGUUUGACUGGGGCGGUCUCCUCCUAAAGAGUAACGGAGGAGCACGAAGGUUGGCUAAUCCUGGUCGGACAUCAGGAGGUUAGUGCAAUGGCAUAAGCCAGCUUGACUGCGAGCGUGACGGCGCGAGCAGGUGCGAAAGCAGGUCAUAGUGAUCCGGUGGUUCUGAAUGGAAGGGCCAUCGCUCAACGGAUAAAAGGUACUCCGGGGAUAACAGGCUGAUACCGCCCAAGAGUUCAUAUCGACGGCGGUGUUUGGCACCUCGAUGUCGGCUCAUCACAUCCUGGGGCUGAAGUAGGUCCCAAGGGUAUGGCUGUUCGCCAUUUAAAGUGGUACGCGAGCUGGGUUUAGAACGUCGUGAGACAGUUCGGUCCCUAUCUGCCGUGGGCGCUGGAGAACUGAGGGGGGCUGCUCCUAGUACGAGAGGACCGGAGUGGACGCAUCACUGGUGUUCGGGUUGUCAUGCCAAUGGCACUGCCCGGUAGCUAAAUGCGGAAGAGAUAAGUGCUGAAAGCAUCUAAGCACGAAACUUGCCCCGA
rnacentral:rRNA from 1 species